UACGAAGGGGGCUAGCGUUGCUCGGAAUCACUGGGCGUAAAGGGUGCGUAGGCGGGUCUUUAAGUCAGGGGUGAAAUCCUGGAGCUCAACUCCAGAACUGCCUUUGAUACUGAGGAUCUUGAGUUCGGGAGAGGUGAGUGGAACUGCGAGUGUAGAGGUGAAAUUCGUAGAUAUUCGCAAGAACACCGGUGGCGAAGGCGCUGCUCUGGGCCGAUACUGACGCUGAGGAGCGAAAGCGUGGGUAGCAAACAGG
rnacentral:rRNA from 1 species